GAUGAAGAACGUAGCAAAAUGCGAUAAGUAAUGUGAAUUGCAGAAUUCAGUGAAUCAUCGAAUCUUUGAACGCACAUUGCGCCCGCUGGUAUUCCGGCGGGCAUGCCUGUUCGAGCGUCAUUUCAACCCUCAAGCCCCCGGGUUUGGUGUUGGGGAUCGGCUCUGCCCUUCUGGGCGGUGCCGCCCCCGAAAUACAUUGGCGGUCUCGCUGCAGCCUCCAUUGCGUAGUAGCUAACACCUCGCAACUGGAACGCGGCGCGACCAUGCCGUAAAACCCCAACUUCUGAAUGUUGACCUCGGAUCAGGUAGGAAUACCCGCUGAACUUAAGCAUAUCAAUAAGCGGAGGA
rnacentral:misc_RNA from 1 species